AUCAAGUCCCAGCUUGAGGAACCAUCUUGCUCAGAUUCAUGAAGAUAGGAGGUCAUUUUCCAAAGGCUUGAUUGAAAAAGAAGAUGAACUGGCCACAUGGCAAAGAUUUCCUGAUGGGUACUUGGAGGACCAAAAGUCAAAUUGAAUCUUUCAUCUCAUCAACAUACCUGCAAGUAGCGAAUCACCCGACAGACCAAAUCUGGUGCCAUGAAAUCCCCUGUGAAUCGCCAAAUUAUAUCUGUCAAUAUGUUGAUGAGCCCUGUAAAAGAGUCUGAAGUAAAAACAUAAAAGGACAUCAGAACUGGAAGCCUUGGGAGCUGUGGGGGAGGACUUAAUGGCACUAAGUAAAGAGAAGCUGAGGAAAGGGAAAGGAUGGAAUCUUUUCCUUGGGUUUCUCUGAAGAGAAAGUAGGAUUUGGAACUCUCCAAUCCUGCCCGCAUUGGCUUUUUGGGUAAAAGGCUGAUGGAGAUAUUUUCCUUAAAAGUGACAUAUAGAAAUUUAUACAAAUUUACAAAAUAUUUGCGGCAAAAAUCUUUAUUAUUUUACAACAUGAAAUUUAAAAAUAUGAUGGCAUCUCCUGUGUUUUCACUAUGCAUCCUAUUUAUAUGAUUACAAUCUCCUUGAUGGGAGCUGUCUUUGGUGCUGAACCUGUGAAUCUCAGCAAUUUAGGGGAACGAAUUUUGAUAGUUUCUAAGCCUACUGCAUAGUAUGAAUUGGAAUAUAAGAAUACAAGAUACUGCUGUGGCCCAGCCUGGAGGGACUGGAUGCUUAGCUCUAGGAACACUAAUUCUAAUCAUUCCACUGCUUCCUGCUGUCAUGAGAGUUUCUUCCUGGUGAGAGAAACAUGACUUCAAACUGAAUAGCUGCCUCAACCCCUGUCAGUAGUGCUGGCUUUUUUGAGAUGGCUCACAGUAAAGUGAAUUCAUUCUGGGUCUUUCUACCUCUUUAAAAAAGGGGGCAGGACCUUUCUUCCAGAGGCAAUCCCUUGUCCUCAGAUUUUUUGAGUCAUCUCUAGUUAAUGAUGGCAAUGACACCUUUUGGGUGUGUGAAAUAAACUUACUCACAAAGCCACUUCUCUUAAACCCCCUUCUGAGCUUCCAGGAGGCAAAGAGAGCUGAUUCACUGCAGACUAUGAAAUAUUAAAGAACAAAGAAAGGGAGAGCUAAGCCAGCACAGCGAGAGAAUCAUCUGACUAGAAUAUGGGACACUUAAAUACCCACAUCUCUGGAAGCAGAGGUACGUUCUACUUCUAUUUUUUUAACUGCUUUUUAUUAUUCCUCUUUGAGAGUCAGAAUGGCAUAGUGUAAUGUUUGCCUUGCAACAGUGUAUUCUGAUCUCAAUACUAUGUGUAGGCAGGACACUGACAACAACGAGAGUGUUCAAAGGAGGGACAACCAGCGUGGUGAAGAACCUCGAGGCUAGGCCAUAAAGAGGAUUGGCUGAGGAAAUUAGGAAUGUUAAGAGAAGGAAAGACUUAGAAGGGAUUUAAUAGAGGUAUUAAACCAAGUGAUGGGCAAUCAGUUGGAGAAAGGGCUUAGAUGUGUUCUAUUUUGUCCCAGAGUGUACAACCAGGAGAAAGAGUCAAAAGAAGUCUAAUUCAAACUUGGCAUAAGGAAACAUUUCUUUCAAGAUAAAUGAGCACAAAGUAAAAGGGAUGAUUUCAGAAGCAUUGUAUUUCUAUUCACUUGAGAUCUUCAAGCAAAGCCUGGAUGACUGGAUAGGUUGCAGAAAGGACAUUUGUUUGGUUAUAGAUUAAU